GACGAACGCUUGCGACGUGCCUGAGAAAUGCAAGUCGAGCGGUGGAUGACCUUUCGGGGUUAUUCAUAGCGGCGAACGGUCGAGUAACACGUAACCGACCUGCCCCAGAGUCUGGGAUAGCCCUCCGAAAGGGGGAGUAAUACCGGAUGGUCUCGUUGAGGUGCAUGCCUUGAUGAGUAAAAGCUUUAUGUGCUUUGGGAGGGGGUUGCGGCCUAUCAGCUGGUUGGUGAGGUAACGGCCACCAAGGCGACGACGGGUAG
rnacentral:rRNA from 1 species